rnacentral:rRNA from 1 species
GACGAACGCUGGCGGCGUGCUUAACACAUGCAAGUCGAACGGAGCGAAUGAAAGCUUGCUUUUAUGAGCUUAGUGGCAAACGGGUGAGUAACACGUAGACAACCUGCCGACAGGAUGGGGACAACAUUCCGAAAGGAAUGCUAAUACCGAAUGAAGCGGAGGAGAGGCAUCUCUCCUCCGUGAAAGAUGGCCUCUGAAAAUGCUAUCACCUGUCGAUGGGUCUGCGUCUGAUUAGCUAGUUGGUGAGGUAACGGCUCACCAAGGCGACGAUCAGUAGCCGGUCUGAGAGGAUGAACGGCCACAUUGGGACUGAGACACGGCCCAGACUCCUACGGGAGGCAGCAGUGGGGAAUCUUCCGCAAUGGGCGCAAGCCUGACGGAGCAACGCCGCGUGAGUGAAAGAAAGGUCUUUCGGAUCGUAAAAGCUCUGUUGAACGGGG